AAUCAACGCUGGCGGCGUGCCUAACACAUGCAAGUCGAACGCGAAAGCCCCUUCGGGGGUAAGUAGAGUGGCGUCCGGGUGAGUAACACGUAGGUAAUCUACCUUCGGGUGGGGAAGUAACUCGCCGAAAGGCGAGCUAAUACCGCAUAAUGCAGCGGCACCUAAUGGUGGAUUAGUUGUUAAAGCGGGGGAGUCGUAAGACCUCGCGCCUGAAGAGGAGCCUGCGGCAGAUUAGCUAGUU
rnacentral:rRNA from 1 species